rnacentral:rRNA from 1 species
UACGUAGGGUGCAAGCGUUAAUCGGAAUUACUGGGCGUAAAGCGUGCGCAGGCGGUUGUGCAAGACAGAUGUGAAAUCCCCGGGCUUAACCUGGGAACUGCAUUUGUGACUGCACGGCUAGAGUGUGUCAGAGGGGGGUAGAAUUCUACGUGUAGCAGUGAAAUGCGUAGAUAUGUGGAGGAAUACCGAUGGCGAAGGCAGCCCCCUGGGAUAACACUGACGCUCAUGCACGAAAGCGUGGGGAGCAAACAGG